rnacentral:rRNA from 1 species
CUACGUAGGGGGCGAGCGUUGUCCGGAAUGAUUGGGCGUAAAGGGCGCGUAGGCGGCGCGGUAAGUCUGGAGUGAAAGUCCUGCUUUCAAGGUGGGAAUUGCUUUGGAUACUGCCGCGCUUGAGUGCAGGAGGGGUUAUCGGAAUUCCCGGUGUAGCGGUGAAAUGCGUAGAGAUCGGGAGGAACACCAGUGGCGAAGGCGGGUAACUGGACUGCAACUGACGCUGAGGCGCGAAAGUGUGGGGAGCAAACAGGAUUAGAUACCCUGGUAGUCCACACUGUAAACGAUGAAUGCUAGGUGUAGGGGGUGUCGACCCCUUCUGUGCCGCAGUCAACACAAUAAGCAUUCCGCCUGGGGAGUACGGCCGCAAGGUUGAAACUCAAAUGAAUUGGCGGGG